GGUAUCUAAUCCUCUUCGCUACCCAUGCUUUCGUUCCUCAGUGUCAGUAAUGAUCCAGAAAGCUGCCUUCGCAAUUGGUAUUCUUUCUAAUAUCUACGAAUUUCACCUCUACACUAGAAAUUCUGCUUUCCUCUAUCAUACUCUAGCUGAAAAGUUUUGAUGGCAGUUCCAGAGUUAAGCUCUGGGAUUUCACCACCAACUUUUUCAACCACCUACGAACUCUUUAAGCCCAGUAAUUCCGAACUACGCUAGGUCCCUUCGUAUUACCGCGGCUGCUGGCACGAAGUUAGCCGGACCUUCUUAUUCGGGUACAGUCAUUUUCUUCCCCGACGAAAGAGCUUUACAACCCAAAGGCCUUCUUCACUCACGCGGCAUCGCUGCAUCAGAGUUUCCUCCAUUGUGCAAGAUUCCCCACUGCUGCCUCCCGUAGGAGUUUGGGCCGUGUCUCAGUCCCAAUGUGGCUGAUCAUCCUCUCAAAUCAGCUAUUGAUCAUAGUCUUGGUAGGCCAUUACCCUACCAACAAACUAAUCAAGUGCGGGCUCAUCCAAUGGUGCAUAAAGCUUUCUCCGUAAAGACUUAUCCGGUAUUAGCACAAGUUUCCUCGUGUUAUUCCAGGCCAAAGGGUAGAUACCCACAUGUUACUCACCCGUGUGCCACUAAGUAUUGCUACUUCGUUCGACUUGCAUGUGUUAGGCGUGCCGCCAGCGUACGUUCUGAGCCAGGAUCAAACUCU
rnacentral:rRNA from 1 species